AGGACAGCUGGGCAAAGAGACAGCUGGUGGAUAGUGUUGAUCUUUUUAUCAGUCAGGGACAAAGCAAAUAGCAGUCUUUUGUACAUCCUAGCUUGAUGCCUGACUUGGUGGCCAAAGCUGUUUCAUAUCUAGGACACAUAA